GAAAGUUGGGAGCUCGAAGACGAUCAGAUACCGUCCUAGUCUCAACCAUAAACGAUGCCGACCAGGGAUCGGCGGAUGUUGCUUUUAGGACUCCGCCGGCACCUUAUAAGAAAUCAAAGUUUUUGGGU
rnacentral:ncRNA from 1 species